AAGAACAACAACAACAAGGAGAAAAAAAGAAGGAAUAGAAAAGAAGAAGAAAAAGUUUAACUUUAUGAUUUCAUAGGAUUUUUGUUAGUGAUAAUGGUUGAGUUGAGAUCAUUGUAGGCACAGACUUUGCUUAUAUAGCUGCCUGACUUGUCCUGAAGUCUGGAAAAUGAAAGCAAAGGAAUGCUUUGUGUUUAUCAGAUGGUAGAAACCCAGCCAAGAUAUAUACUUCUUUCUGUUUGCUGAUUCCAGCCCCUGUCAUCAACUUUGUUAUAUGACUUUCUGCCGUGAUGUCUGGCAGCGACUAACAACAGUUCAGAAGAACAGUUUAUCAUUAUCAGGUCCAAACUCUCUUUACAGAGUAAGCUGUGAUGACGAUGUGUAAAUGUGGCAAUUUUAUGUUAUGAAAGUAUAACGCAGGCCUUGAAAGUACUUGUGAGGAUGGCUUCAAAGAAAAGAAAAUUUGUGAUAUUAAAAUGGAAAACUAUUCAGUAAUGAUUGAUAAGGAGCUAUACAUUUCAGAGAAUGUGUGAUAUAUUAUUGAAACAUUAUUGGAACAUUACUGGGAUUUUGAAUUUUGGUUAUUGCAGUCAUUUGAAGGUAGAAGAGGAGAAGAUAGCUAUCACCAUACAUAUUUUCUGUAAAAACUGUGAAUGUGACAAUAAUUAUGCUAAAAAAGAAAGAAUAAAGAAAGAAAAACACCAAACACAAAUAUGUUACCUUUUUGCUUCAGAAACAGGCUUUUGAAUUUGGGCUAACAUGUAAUUCAAUUAUACAAGAUACCCUCUGUUUUUAAAUUAUAUCCUUUAUAUAAAGAUGUGUAAGAAUAGCAUCAACAUCUAACUUGAGUGUCUACACCAUGAACUGUAAGCCUGGUUAAGUAUAUGAGAAUUAUUCUAGCACAGUUGCAUUGGAAAUUUUCUUUGAAUACAACGUGGCUGUUAACAGUGGACCUGUGUGCUAUUGGCAUCCCUGUCAAAGUUCAUCUUGCAUCAAAGACAUUUUCGUUUUCAAGUUCAACUUUAAAGUCUGACAGAUGAAAUUGGAGGUCCACAUUUGAUGUGGAUGCAUUGUGAGAAGUCCUCUUGCUCUAUACCAUUUGUAUUGGGCUUACAAUUACCUAUGUUGACUCAGGCAUGUGAUUGUUGGUCCAAGGCAGCCCUGUUCUGUUUUCAGCAUAAACAAGGGCCACCCCAAGUUUAUCCAGUUAUCCCCAUCCAAACCUGAUUAUCUAGCCUAGAAAUAUACCAUGCCUAGUCUAGAUUCAGGAUUUGGGGCCUAUUUUCCCAUCAGUUAAGUUUUUUAUUUUACAUUAGUGCUUGCUUGAUUUGUAACCUUGCAAGUAGAACAAAAGACGAUACUUACAGUAGUAUUAUUAAUUAAAUUAAUUUAAAAUAUGGGCAUUGGGGAACUGUCAUCAACUGUCAAUCCUCUUAAAUGUAGUUACAGGUGUGCCCAAGUUGAUUUUACAGGUCCAUAUUCCGGAGAAGUCUUCUUCGAAACCUGGACACAAGACUAGAAUUGUCUCAUUCUUUUGUUUGCCUACUUUGUAUAUUCCUUCUGUCCCAUUAAGUGAUCAAAUGUUUGCUCAAGUAGAUGGUAUUAUUCUUUGUGUAGAUGUUUUCAUACUUGUCUUUGAUUUGUGGAUUAUGAUUGUUUGAGAUGCCCCACCCACAGUGUUCCUAGAGUCAUUAUGCACAUAUCUCCUCAUUGUUCUUGUGCAGGACUGUGGUAUAGGGAGAUCUUUUGUUCCCACUCAAAAUGAGUCUGACCUUUGUUUCUAAGAGCCAAAAGUUGAAGUUUUGUGAAUAUUUAUGUCAUCCUCUGCCAGUAAAGUAAUAUUACCUUUAAAUUCGUUCUGAUACCGGUAGUUCUUCUAAUUAACGAUUUUUCCUUCUUCCAUGGAAGGCCGCGAACACAUUUGACCAAAUAAUUAUUUUAUUUCUGUGGGUAUAGUUAUUUUGAUAGCAUCUUGUCAUAAUUCACAUGACAUUACCCAUUUGAUAUAUAGUUGGAUUUGCAAAUUUUUGGAGGAUUUGAUUGUUGUUUAUAAUACUAUCUUGAAUCUUCAACAUUAAUUGAUUUACACAAAUUAUGUAACAAUUUUAGUUACACCAAUGAGAUGAUGAUUUGAAACAUGACUUAUUAUACAGUAAUAGUUUUCAAGGGAAUAGGCUUUUAGGAACCGGACAUGAUGGUUUGUCUAUAGUUAAAAAAUAUCUUACCAUUCUUUAUAGAUUUGCAAUAUGAAUAUCAAUCUAACAAUACUGUAUGUGGCAUUGUAGCCUACUAUGAGGAAUGUAUGUUUGCCGAGUGUUAUUUGUUGGUCAGAGGUGUGCCUGAAGUGUUUAUUUCUGGGCAUUUCUAAGUGGAAGUUAUCAUUCACAGCUCCAUCCUAAAUCAGAUGAGAAACUUUUUCCUUUCUCCAUUCUCUCAAUCAUUACAAUGAAUAAAACUUUUUGAUGUAUGUAUGGUACUGGAAGAAAGGUGCAAAAGCGCACCCCAAUCCAGCCCCUUCCUUUCAAGCCAGUCCUCUUCAGCAUUCCAUGAAAGACCACCACCAUGAAUAGCACCUAUUGAGGGAUAGUAAUUAGGCAAGAGGGGCAAUCUUUACACCCUUUCACCAUUCCUCAUCAUUACCCCAUUAUUGAAAUGAUGAGGUGUCUAUUGUUGGCCAGAGGAGGGCUAGCCUACCUACCCUCCUCCCUUUAUUCUUUUCCUCCUGAAAGAAGGGAUAGACUGUACUCCCAAAUCUCUUUGACAAAGGGUUUUACGAGAAGUGUAUGAAUAGACCACUCAUAGGGCCUAUUAUUUCUUUUUAGAAGUUUUGAAUAGAGUUUUUUUACAAUACAGAAUGUGGGAGAAGAUCUGGGUUUUAUAGACUCUUAGAAAGUUAGAAUAAGGUGGCUCUUAAGAUGCAUAGUUGAAGAAAUAGAACUCACCUCUCAGUCUUACUUCAUUAGCUGUCAAAAACUUUUCAUGCCAGAUGAUGAUGCAGGAGUUCUGUCACAUUAGGUAUUUGUAGCAACAAAAGAGGAAGGAGUGAGAAAAGCCCCUCUUAUCACACAUUUCUGUAUGGAGGAGCCCAGGGGGCUUCACAGCUAUUGUCUGAGUUGUGAAAAAAUACAUCUUGGAUUAAAAAAUCCAGAUUGAGAAUGAAGAAUUCAAUUUCAGCUGCACUCCUGCAACUAUGUUCAUGAGAUGUGUUAUUUUGGGGGGAUAUUGCUAAAUGUUAAGGAGAGGUUAUGUAGCUUUCUAGAAGGGGGUUGGUCUUCAUAGUCAUACACAUUUAGACAAGGGUUUAUUUCCUUCUAAUUUUUAAUUGGCAUAAGUACAACAUGAAAUGUAUUUGGGGUCAGGACCUUUGGUCUGAAUGGGCUUUGUCCAUGCUGCAAGGUGCAAGGAGCAAGGAGAUACCAUAUGCCUAGUGUCCAUUUCUUGAGGCAAGUGUUAAAUUUUACCCUUCAAAACUGGCACAUGUCCUGUGGUUACAAUUUUCCCACUCUAUGGAAACACAGAAUACUGUAAAAUACAGUCUGCAUUUUUGAAGGAACACAUGUUUUGGUCUAGAUGUCAUGACCUUCCAACCAAGUUAAAAAAAAGAUUAUAUAGACCCUACAGGAAACACAUGCAGUGGUAACAACAGAAUAUAACCAAAUGCUGGGAGAGUAUGGGGUGGGUGGUUUUAAUUACUGGUUUGUCCUUGGUAUGGUACAAAAAUAAAUGACUAAUUAGUCCCUCUUGGUAUUCUCAGUGGGAUAGCACAGUCAGCUAGUAGAGACCACAUGUUUUACAAAUGUAUGAACUUCAUGAACUUGAACAUUUAUUUAAUGUAGUAAUGCACUAAUGUAUACCCAUGGUUACGUUAGGUGUAUGCUUUUGGACUAGAAACAUUUGUUGGGAAACAGUGAAACAACAAAAUACAUCAGGAAAGAUACAAAGUGUAAACAUGAUCACAUCUGCCCCUAUUUGGGAGGUUGAGAUGUGUGCGACCUGGUUUGCCUCAGAAAGUGUACUGGGCUUCUACCUCUGUGUCAAGUAACAAACAUUACCAUGUCCACUAUUCAUGUAGAAAGUAUAUUUGACUUUAGAUGAUUACGUUGCCAUGGAAAUUUCUUGUCCUCUUCGGCUCUUCCACACUACUAGAGAUGAUCCUUGCAUUAGUGGGAGGAAAGAUGAAAUGGGUUCAUAGUCACUUGCUAUAUAGAUGGAUGGAUAAAGUGGUAAGAUAGUGUUAAGAGCAUACAAUUUCUCACAUAGGAAAAGAUAGUAUAUACAGUACUUAUUCCAUUCUGUGUUUUUUGUAGGGCAAUAUUUGCUAGCAACCUUUGCUUGCUUUACAUCUUUAUAGUUAUAUCAAUUUUUAAAAGUAUGAUAAUGAUUCAAAAUCAAACGUGUAUCUUAAAAUAUAAUAUGAAGAUGAGAAUAAAUUAUUCUCUUUUGUUUGAAAGGUAACUGAAAAUUGAUUUGAGGGCCAUGGUCAUAGGCAUUCCAUUGAUGUCUAUCAAAACUCAAAAGGGAAUAAAUAGCUAGUUCUCAUUAGAAUCAUGGUCACUCAAUUACAGUGUAGGUAGGCCAUAUUGUUAUGAGGACACUGGUUAAUGAAUCACUCAUAUGCAUUCACACUUGUAGGUCAUCUCUCAAUACAGAGAUAAUAAAUCAAAAGAUAAAAAAUACGUUCAUUCACUCCAUUGUCACCUUCAUAAAAAUACACUAUUGGCGGGAAAACUACUGGCAUUUUCAUAUUUUUAAUUUCUAGACUGUCUUCAAUUGAUGUUUUAUAAAACAUUACUAUUGGCAAAGUGGAAAUGGAUAUCAAACAGAACCAUACUCAGUCAUAUUUUUGAAAUUUUUAAAAUUAUUUUAGUAAUUUUAUGUGUUGGAUCAAAUUAAUUUGAGUGACACCGCAUCAUUAAAAAUCAUUAAAACCUUUACCACUUAGAAAUUCUCCUUUAAGCUUGGGCGAUUUCUUUACAGAAUGUAAAGUAUUGGAUAAUGGGAUGAAUCACAAAAAACUGAGCAAAAACAGUAUUGGUGAUUUGGUCCAAAAUAUGAUUGAAAUGAAAUGGAACUACUUAUGACUCCAAAACAUUUUUAAUUUUCAUAUGUCAGUAUGAAAGCUCUGUAAUAUACUGACAUUGCAGACUGUUGCUUACAUUUUUUGUUUUGUCAGUUAUUCUCAGUGUAACAUGUCCGAAGGGAAUACACCAAUUGGGCCACUUAUUAAAUUGGCCGUCACAGCUUCCCUCGAAUUAAAUGAACAGGCAAAUUGAAUGAUAGACAACCAUUUUUUUCCAUUGCUGAUUUAUUAUUGGCGUUGGACUGAUGCCCUUAAUGAUCAAUGGCAUUUGUAAUUAUAAUCUUAUUGGAUUUUGCAUCCAAGGGGAAACUGAAAGUAGGAUGAGAUGUGGUGCUCUUAAUUGAAGGAAUCCAAAAAUACUUACAAACGUAGUAUUGGUUUAAUGAUCUUUAAUUUUACACACUUAACGUUUGUUAGUAUCACCCAUAGCAACCAGUGAAAGCUGCAAAAUACAGUUGGCAAUUUUAGGUCAUGAUAUGCUAUGAAAUCCACAUGUUUUAUGAAUGAUAUGAAUCAAAUUUGUUUCAUGAAAGAGAAAAAUAGAACAAAAUAAUAUAUUUCAGUGAAUAAUGUGGUUGGAGUACCAGAGACAGCUUGCCAUGAUAAAAUGAAUAGAGCCUUCUAUGACUGAGGUAUGAAAUACUGGUAUUCCAAUCUCUUUUGAUUGCGGGACAUUUAAUACAUUUAUAUUUAGUAGCUUAAUUUCUGAUUUAGAAUGUUAUCUGCUACCUGUUGUAUUAAAUAUAAAGGCCACCAAACAAGCUUCUUGUGAAUGCUUGACAAUUUAGAGAGAGCAUGGUUAUAUAUCGCUAUAGUACGGUAUGUAUGUCCAUAGAGAGGGGAACUCUUGGGGUGGUUGUAGAACCAUUAUACCAUUAACCAGCAUGUGGAGGCGAUUGGUCUGUAAAUCAAUCUCUUAAUGUAGACAUCCACCACUCGAACUUUGAUAUCAUCACCAGUGAUUGUAACUGCUUGUUGAGUGUGAGAGAAAAAUAAACAGACAAGUGCUUUCAUUACAUUUAACAAAGUCCAGAAAAUUGAUAAAUUCAAUGGCUCUAUUACACAUGCUCCUGAAUGAUAAGAAGUGCAAUAAACAUAUUGAAUGUUUUUAACAAUGUACUGGUAUUUACACAAUUUAAUUUUAUUAGUUUUCAAAACAUGUACCAGUAUCUCUUGCAUGGAUCUAAUAAAAGCCUAUGUGGGUCUAUACUGCAAGUCAAUAACAUAUUCAUUUAUAACGAUUAUUCAAUUUACAAUCCAAAACAUUUAAAGGGAAGUAUACUAGUUCUAUUUACUCUUUGAAUUUCCAAAACAAUCUUUUCUUGAAAACAAUAAGUUAUAUUUGAUCUAGAUUUACAUUUUUUAUUCAUCGCAUCUAUGAAAUAAAUCCAUGUCUUAAUAUGAAACAAGAGAAUAGAAAUGAAGUCGUAGAUAUAUUAGUUUGUAAAAAAAUAGACUAACAAUUGGCAGAGGUGAUCUGAUCACAAAAUUGCUCAUUUGAGUUUAGUUGUUUGCAAUUUUAAAUCUCGAUAACUGUCUUAUCCUUGAAAAGAUUCUCCUGAAACUCUUACUUUUCUGUUUCUAUCAUUUUUUGUUUUUAUUAAAAACGUCAGGGUAGGUGGUACAAUGUAGCAGUCGUUUUCAAGGUCUAAUAGUAAGCAGUGUCCAUCACAUCAUCAAUUUUUGUUCUUGAUAUGACGGUACUCCAUUUUGCAAAUAUUAAAAAAUCUUCAUUUAGAAGUCAAACAUAUUAAUGACAAAAUGUAUUAUUCAUACUGAAGAUUGAAGAGUAUUAUUAAUUACUAAUCACAAAUGGGAUGCAAAGACUUUUUAAUCAAGUAAAGGACUAAGGUGUUUUUUGUAUCUGUUACGAUGUGGCAGCCAUAUUGGUAGAUGUCCAGUCAUUAAUUAGACUUUAGACUGACAGCUUAAUAGUUCAUCCCCACAUGAAUGCAAUGAGCAAACAACUCAACUGAUUAAUCACCAUGAUAAUCCACUGAUUAGUCCCAGCUAAUGAUUUUCAUGUCAUCUACUCUUCACACAUUAAAUCUCACAUAC